rnacentral:rRNA from 1 species
UACGUAGGGUGCGAGCGUUAAUCGGAAUUACUGGGCGUAAAGCGUGCGCAGGCGGUUUUGUAAGCCAGAUGUGAAAUCCCCGGGCUUAACCUGGGAAUGGCAUUUGGGACUGCAAGGCUGGAGUGCGGCAGAGGAGACUGGAAUUCCUGGUGUAGCAGUGAAAUGCGUAGAUAUCAGGAGGAAUACCGAUGGCGAAGGCAGGUCUCUGGGCUGACACUGACGCUCAUGCACGAAAGCGUGGG